AGCUGAGUGAAGAAAGGAGGGAGGGAGGACCAGAGGCGAAGCAGCCUCCGAUCGAGCAUUCUGAUUGGCUGCUGCUAUUCUCCUUUUCCUCAAUCCAUUGUGACGGUACACGGAACAGCGUGACACCAUCAGAAUGGGGUGUGCCCAGCACCCAGCCACUGUCAGCGCUCUGUCCUCUCCUUCCCACACUCCGUAACAGCCCCGGCCUCGCAGCGAUCUGGGCUUCACGCCCCGGUUUCACUUCCAACUCACUCAACGCCAUCCCUCUGCUGCCCUUUCUGGCUCCCCGCUACCCUUCAUUCUCCUGGACUCUGGACUGGCAGUGGAUCAUGCCAGGUAUGAAGAGGAAAUGGAUCUCAUUUUUUGAAUUUUAGGUUAAGAAACAUGAAACCUCUCAGAAUCCAGAAAGUGAACUGUUUGGAGAAGACACCAUGAAGAUGCCUCCACAGACCACAAGAUGCACCAGAAAAUACAGAGUGAACUUUGGAAUGUGGUGAUUUGAACUGUAUUCUCAGAAGGGCAGUGAGUGUGGAAACUGAGCAUUGUGUGCACCUAGUCCUGUGUGACUGAGAAACAACAACCAGAACUUACUAUCCAGAGACUCCCAACCAAGGACCUAGGUGAUGUCUAGAGAUUGAGCUAUUAAAUUAUAACAUAUACAAAGUGCUUUGGAGUGGCAGAAUUUCCAGGUGUGAAGGCAAAACUACUUUGAAGAACUUGAAAGGAAA